ACGACCAUACCCACUGGAAUAUACGGGAUCCCGUCCGCUCUCCCCUAGUCAAACCAGUGAGGGCCGAACUAGUACUCAGGUGGGUGACCACUGGGGAAUCCUCGGUGUUGUAUGUG
rnacentral:rRNA from 2 species